rnacentral:rRNA from 1 species
UACAGAGGUCUCAAGCGUUGUUCGGAUUCAUUGGGCGUAAAGGGUGCGUAGGCGGCGCGGUAAGUCGGGUGUGAAAUCUCGGAGCUUAACUCCGAAACUGCAUUCGAUACUGCCGUGCUUGAGGACUGGAGAGGAGACUGGAAUUUACGGUGUAGCGGUGAAAUGCGUAGAUAUCGUAAGGAAGACCAGUGGCGAAGGCGGGUCUCUGGACAGUUCCUGACGCUGAGGCACGAAGGUCAGGAGCGAAACGGG